rnacentral:lncRNA from 1 species
UAAUCUUAUUGUUCAUGUAGAGUGACAUAAAAGUUAAAAUAAAAAUAUUAAUUAAAAAAAUAUUUAUUUAAGGGUAAGGUAAAAUUGUGGAGAAUGUCAAAUUUGCAAACUAAAGAACUUGGGUGGAAUACAUAUAUAUUGUGUUUGAUUCGAGAACUAAAUUUUAAAAAAUAAUUUUUGUUGCUCUGAAAAAUAAAAAUAUUUUAGGAUAAUCUGGAAUAAGUUCUAAAUUGCGUCCGAAUAUUGUUUGUUUGUUCCCAGAGGAUAUCUAUUAUAGUGUUUGGAUGUUUGUACUGAAAUAAGAUAUCGAAUUAAUAAAAGUUAAAUAAAAUAGCAAUUUUGCGCUUGAAUAUAGUAAUAAAGUAAAUUCAAUAUAUAAGAAAGAGAUAGAAUUAAUAUAUAAUAAUAUAAUAUUGAAUGUAGCUGUGA